rnacentral:tRNA from 2 species
UUCUCUAGUAGCUCAGGGGUAGAGCAUUUGGCUGUUAACCAAAUUGUCGUUGGUUCAAAUCCAAUCUAGGGAGU